GGAGACGGGGCAGGCACGGGGAGGGAGAGACCCGCGGCGGCGGGGAAGCCGGGAGUAGACCCUGAGGGAAGAAAGGACGGGGCGGACGCGCACGCGGGAGGAGGACGGAUUCCAGGCGCGGUUCUGCGGAGGACGAGCGGGUGUCGCCUGUUAUAAAGGGGGAGGAGGCGGCGGAGGGGGAAGGAAGAGCGUGCGGAGCGGAGCCUCCUCCAGAGACAGCCAGACACAGGGAGGAGAGAGAGGCUGCCUGGCUGGCUCCCCCUUCCUCCUCCCUCCCUCUCUCCUUUUCAUGGACUCUCUUGUCGGGUUGCUGCUGCUGCUUUUCUUCCGUCCUUAUUCCGUCUCUCUAAUACCCAAAAUGAUUCAGCUCCAUGGCUGCCACUGACGGGGAUGUCCCUGCCCGGCUUAGCCUGCCGCUGCCGCCCUGCUGUGCGCCAGUCCUCCUGACUCAGCCGCAGACAUUAGUGCUAGGAAGAUGGCGCACCCGGCGAUGUUUCCUAGAAGGGGCAGCAGCAGUAGCAGCGGCAGCAGCUGCGUUACUGCUCCCACUGCACCAGGUACCGGCGUUGGGAGCGCUGCCCUCUCUGCCGAGGAUUAUCAGCCGCCUUUGCUGGUCCAGCCGCCGCCUCCAUCUCCUGCAGCAGCUUCAACGGCGGGUCCACAGCCGACACCCCCUCAUCCACAAAGCCUGAACCUCCUCUCGCAGUCUCAGCUCCAGCCACAGCCCCUUGCACAGACUGGAGCUCAAAUGAAAAAGAAAAGUGGCUUUCAAAUUACCAGUGUGACCCCUGCUCAAAUAUCAGCUAGUAUGAGCUCUAAUAACAGCAUAGCUGAGGAUACAGAAAGCUACGAUGACCUGGAUGAGUCUCACACUGAAGACCUGUCAUCUUCAGAAAUCUUGGAUGUGUCUUUAUCCAGAGCCACUGACAUGGGAGAACCUGAGAGGAGUUCUUCUGAAGAGACUCUAAAUAACUUCCAAGAGGCAGAGACUCCUGGGGCUGUUUCUCCAAACCAGCCUCACCUUCCUCAGCAGCAUGCUCCUCUGCCUCAUCACCCACAGCAGAGUGUUGUGAUCAAUGGAAGUGUUCAUCCCCAUCAUGUUCAUCACCACCACCAUCUUCACCACCACCAUCAUGGACACCAUCAUCCAUCGCAUCCUGGGGUGGGUAGUGCCCCAAUUUCUGGAGGACCACCACCCAGUCCAUCGUUUAGAAAACUAUCAACAACUGGAAGCUCUGACAAUGUUAUAUCAACUGCACCAGUUUCUGCUGCAUCAUCCACUGGUUCCCCAGCAUCUGCCGUGUCUAAUAUCCGCACUACAAGUACUCCUGGAAAUUUAGGUAUAAGUCCUGCUGCUGGAACUAGUACCUUAAAUAAUAUUGCUGGUGGUAGUUCUAGUGUGGCAAGCAAUGUGCUUGGUACUAUUAAUUUAAGCAACAUCAUGAGUACUGGUAAUGUAAAUGCUUUGUCUGGAGCUAGCAGCAAUGCUAAUGUGAAUAUCUUGAGUGGUGUUGGCAAUGGUACGAGUGCUUCCUCUAGUGUCAUUAACAAUGUUACUAAUCCAACUGCAGGAAUGGCAGUGGGAUCAAGCCAGCAGCAACCUGCAUCUGGCACAUCAAGGUUUAGGGUUGUAAAAUUAGAUUCUAGUUCUGAACCUUUCAAAAAAGGUAGAUGGACAUGCACUGAAUUCUAUGAUAAAGAAAACACUGUUGCAGUUUCAGAGGGAGUAGCAGUAAACAAAGCAGUAGAGACGAUAAAACAAAACCCGCUUGAAGUGACUUCUGAAAGGGAGAGCACCAGUGGGAGUUCUGUUAGCAGCAAUGUAAGCACACUGAGUCACUAUACAGAAAGUGUGGGAAGUGGAGAAAUGGGAGCACCUACUGUGGUACAGCAGCAAGCAUUUCAAGGUGUGGGUCCGCAGCAGAUGGAUUUUAGCAGUGCUGCUCCUCCAGCAAUUCCAGCAUCUAGUAUACCACAGAGUGUUUCUCAAUCACAGCUUGCACAAGUCCAGCUGCAUUCUCAAGAAGUAAACUAUCCACAGCAGAAGCCAGGGGUCCAACCUCCUGCACAGGCCAGUCUAACCACUGUUACUGGGGUUCAGCCAGCUCCAGUUAAUAUACUAGGUGUAUCCCCAUCUCUGGGCCACCAGCAGCCUGCCCUCCAGAGCAUGGCUCAGCAGCAGCUGCCGUAUUCUCAGCCGGCACAGCCUGUGCAGACUUUGCCAGUGGUGCAGCAGCAGCAGUUGCAGUACGGACAGCAGCAGCAGCCAGUUCCUUCGCAGAUGGCCGCGGGUCACGUUAAGGCGGUGAACCAAAACUCUGUCACAGGGGCUAUGCCAGACUACAUCCAGCAUCAGCAGAUCCUUCAGACUCCAGCCCCUGCCAUGCAGCCAAGUUCUACAGGAGUAGGAGCUGGGCAACCGGUUCCUGUUGCCCAGGCGCAGGGCAUGCAGCCUUCAGUGCAAGCACAUCCAGCUGCUGCCCCAGCUCAGCCUGUUGCACAUGCUCCAGCAGCAAUACCAGGUGUAGCUGCCAGUGGUCAAAUACUAAAUGUUGGGCAGCAAGGAAGUGUAGCUGCUGUGGUGCAACCACCAUCUGCUACAAACCAAAUUCCACCUCCAGUUAUGCCAUCAGCAGCUGCUCCUCCAUCUUCCCAAGUGGUGCAGCCUGUGCAGACAGGAAUAAUGCAGCAGGGAUUACAGGCUAGUGCUACAGGCCUUCCUCAACAAAUGGUCAUUGCUCAGCAAAGCACCUUGUUACCUGUACAGCCACAGGCACAAGGAGUGGAAUCUGUAGUCCAAGGGAUGACUGGCCAGCAGCUGCCUGCGGUAAGCCCAAUACCCUCUGCUAGUACUGUUCCUGCACCAAGUCAAGCUGGUUCAGCUGUGCCUCCUGGCAUACCUUCUGCUUCUGUAGGUUUGGGACAGCCACAGAAUAUAGCACAGGCUUCGGCUGUGCAGAAUGGCAAUUUGGCUCAAAGCGUUAGUCAGCCUCCCUUGAUAUCAACAAGUAUAGGUAUGCCAGUGGCACAGAGUGUGCCACAGCAGAUGCCACUAAGCUCUAGCCAGUUCCCUGCACAAUCCCUAGCUCAGUCCAUUGUAAGCCAAAUGGAAGAUGGCAGACGCCCUACAGAACCUUCCUUGGUGGGUUUACCUCAAGCUGCCGGCGUCGAGAGCGGUGGUGGAGCAUCGGCCGCUUCAGAUGGCGGGAGCAGCAGCAUGCCGUCCUCGGCGUCCCUCUUCCCGCUGAAGGUGCUGCCCUUGACAACGCCUCUUGUAGAUGGUGAGGAUGAGAGUCUUUCUGCCUCCCUAUCCUGGAAGUAUGGAGUCCCUGCCUCAGCCUACGGCUUCAUUCUUUUUCCAGCUGCCCACAAAAGUAAAGAACCAGUGUGAGAGUUUGAAGAAAGAAUCCGCUCAGAGGACUGAGUCUCAAGCAAAAGCUCCAGGUUGCAGACUCAGAAAGAAACUUCCUUUGGGGAAGGAUCUGCUUCCAGGAUUUGCUCGUCUCUUUUUCCUUGGGCAAACAGUUCUUGAAGCAAACAACAGGGUUGCAGGACACCUUCUAAUCUUUAUACUGCAUCACAAGCCUUCAGCAGAAGAUCUUAUGUUGCUGGAAGAUGACUGGGUUUGGAUCUUGGCCUUCCCUAAGCAGGAUCUCCUGGCAAAAAAUGGGAUUGGGAAAGACAUGACUCCUUUUUCCAUCACACAGAACCACCCUAGAAAUGGAGGCCUAGGCAGAAAAUUACUUCUAGUGCGUCGUUCUUUAGGAAAUGUGUUUGGCCUUCCAUGGUCCUUUUACAGUGUCGUACAGAUAUCCUUUAUUAAAUCUAAACCUGGCAUCUUCCUAUCUGAAGCUCAAGUCAAUAAAUCCAAGAUUAAGAGUUUACAGGUCUAAUAAUGUGGUCGGGUCUUGCUGUCUCUUGCAUAGGAGAUGCCACAUGAAUCUAUGAAACAGGGUUCUGCUGUGGUUCAGACUGUUACAUUUGUAAAGCCUUUUCUACUUACAUUAAAAUUAUUAGAAAUAAUAUUAAUAAAGGUUCUUGUGAAAAUGGUACUUAGACUUCUACCUUGCUGGGUUUACUUAAAAAUAAAUUUGAACCAAAAUGUCACAAUGGGUAGUAUGGGAAAUAGUGCAUCUUUUGAGGUUUCCUGUGGCUUUAUGUCACAAAAAAGUAUGUUGCAACUGCAGAGCAUUAAAAAAGUGGAAAUCUUAGAUUUUUUCUUUAAGAUUGAGAAGUUGUUUGUUAGAAAGCAGAAAGCUUUUAAUUGUUUUCCCCCUAAGGGAUUCUGUAGUCAAACUUAAUUAAAUGUCUUGCAGGAUCUCAAAUGAAAACCUUAUGUUUGGCAGUAGUGAACAGCACACACAUGCCUGUGUACUUGUGUUGUUCUCACUAUAGGAAAUUGGUUUCUAAGAAUGGGACUUACUUCAAAUAUUCAGAUUAGGAAAGGGGAAAGUUUUGUUCUGAAGCUGAAUGUGAGAAUAGGGGGCAGGAGGGUGUACCAGCCCUCUGGCAGUAGGUAAAGAGCACUUGCAUUUUUCUGUUUUCUGCUUCUGGCAGUUGAAGUAAACUAGCCAGAUGCUUGUACUUGAAUCCAAUUAGUUUCUUAAAUCACUUACCACAAAACAUUGUUUUUAAACUAAUGCCUAGAUCUUUUGCUAAAUUCGCCAGUUUAUUUAAAUUACUCAAUAGUCACAUAGCCCUGAGGCUACUGCUUCAUGGCAGUUGUGACUUCUUACUAUUCUGGAAUGCGUUGCAGUCCUAGUACAUUCUAAAAAUAAUUGUUCAGAUGGUGCUGUUGAAGUACAUACUUAUGUAGUGAGCCAUUUUCACUGGACUUUCUGAAAUUGGCUUUCUGUUGGAUGGUUUUUUAAUAUCUUAUUUUGCUGUGAUUAUCAAACUUGUUUGUCUUGCUGUUUCUGUGGUUAUUAAGUAAAGUGCUGAAUUUAUAACCUGGUAUUUUUAGAGAAUUGAUAGUCACAUGCCUGUGUUAAACUAUGCAAGCACAGUAACACUUGUAAACUUUGAAGUUUAAGAAGAAUUCAAUUUAAUAUAUCAAAUUCAAUCCUAUUAUAAUAAGUGGAAAUAUGUAUGUGAUGACCUUAAAAUUGAGUAGUUGUUACAGAUACAGAGGUGAAUUGUGUAUUGAACAGAGGUGAUCUAGACAUUAAUAGCUGAAGAUCUGUGGGUCUUAGAAGUGAGUUCUAUCUAACAUUUGUGACUAGAGUUUUGUGCCAGCAGGGCUUUUAGUUGAAAAUACCUAUUUUUCAAAUUUCUAGUCCAUUUAAGGUCUGAUAUCCUUUGUGCCUUAGUAAGUAUACUUACACUUGCCUCAGCCACAGUUUUUGGUCAUUUUGUUCUGUAGUAGGUAAAUUUAGGACUGUCAAAUACUUACGAAACAGGCACUGAGGACUGUUUGUUACUGUGUCUCAGUUUCUAAAAUGGCUUUACUCCUCCCUGUCACAAUUAGGGAACAAAACUACCAAAACAAAAUACAAACCAAAGUAAAAAGCCUGUUGCAAUUCUACAGUCAGUAUUUUGAUACUUGUCUAUCACCAUUGGGUUAGCAUGUUUCUGUCAUGCUCUGAGUUUUACAGCUGGAAUCCUGGAUUCUUGAUACAUCCUUAGAAUAAUAACUCUUGCCUUUGUGUUAUUAAAUAAUAAAGAUAU